rnacentral:rRNA from 1 species
AGAGUUUGAUCAUGGCUCAGGAUGAACGCUGGCGGCGUGCCUAACACAUGCAAGUCGAGCGAUUCUCUUCGGAGAAGAGCGGCGGACGGGUGAGUAACGCGUGGGUAACCUGCCCUGUACACACGGAUAACAUACCGAAAGGUAUGCUAAUACGAGAUAAUAUGCUUUUGUCGCAUGGUAGAAGUAUCAAAGCUUUUGCGGUACAGGAUGGACCCGCGUCUGAUUAGCUAGUUGGUAAGGUAACGGCUUACCAAGGCGACGAUCAGUAGCCGACCUGAGAGGGUGAUCGGCCACAUUGGAACUGAGACACGGUCCAAACUCCUACGGGAGGCAGCAGUGGGGAAUAUUGCACAAUGGGCGAAAGCCUGAUGCAGCAACGCCGCGUGAGCGAUGAAGGCCUUCGGGUCGUAAAGCUCUGUCCUCAAGGAAGAUAAUGACGGUACUUGAGGAGGAAGCCCCGGCUAACUACGUGCCAGCAGCCGCGGUAAUACGUAGGGGGCUAGCGUUAUCCGGAAUUACUGGGCGUAAAGGGUGCGUAGGUGGUUUCUUAAGUCAGAGGUGAAAGGCUACGGCUCAACCGUAGUAAGCCUUUGAAACUGGGAAACUUGAGUGCAGGAGAGGAGAGUGGAAUUCCUAGUGUAGCGGUGAAAUGCGUAGAUAUUAGGAGGAACACCAGUUGCGAAGGCGGCUCUCUGGACUGUAACUGACACUGAGGCACGAAAGCGUGGGGAGCAAACAGGAUUAGAUACCCUGGUAGUCCACGCCGUAAACGAUGAGUACUAGCUGUCGGAGGUUACCCCCUUCGGUGGCGCAGCUAACGCAUUAAGUACUCCGCCUGGGAAGUACGCUCGCAAGAGUGAAACUCAAAGGAAUUGACGG